GCUCACUUGGAUGAUACUCUGAUGCGUGUGUCUCCCAGUGAGUUCCUGCUGCAGAAGACUUGAAUAAAAUGCACAGAAAGACAAGUCUUUGCCUAAGCUGUUUAUCUGAAAACUCGAAUUGCCAUCACAACCACCUAAAGUUUGCUAAUAGCGUAACUACUCGACAAAAUAAGGCUACAACAGCUGAGCUCCUGAGUAUAGCCUACUGAGCUGAAAAAAGUUUCUGUGGCAUAAGCUUUUUGAGGUUGCUAUCGUAGCACCCAGUCAUCCACCAUUUCUUGCUUCUGGAGGUUGUUGCAGCCUUACAGCGUGUCUCGGCCAGGAUGAAGAGGGUUUGUGACCCAGAUCAGGAUGUGGCGCUGAACAUGUGGAGGAAAGGGACAAGUCAUCUCAUCACACUGUACUGCGCAGAGCUCAUUGACAACGUGUAACUGCGAUGAGAUAACACGGACCCAGAAGCAGGAUAAAUAACGCACUCCCUGAGGCAUCCUCACUUAUUCGAGCAUUCAUGUACUCGGAUGUCCAUCAGCAGAUGAUUUAAUAAACCUACAGAGAGACAAGUGUUUGCUUCAAGUUGUUUAUUUCAACUCCCACCACAAGUGAAAAUUAAGUACAUGUACUCAAGAAUUGUGCUUAAGUACAAUUCUGAGGUACUUCUUAGAUAUUUAUAUUCAUUUAAAGUAAUAAUAAUCCAUAAUAUAACACUGAGAGGGGCCGUUCCGCAUAAUGAGUACUUCUCAUUUUCAUACUUAAAGUACAUUUUCCUGCUAUUACUUCUGUUCUUUUACUUAAGAGAAAUUAUUAAUGCAGUAUUUUGACUUGAAAUGGAGAAUUUUUGCAUUGCUGUAUUGCUGCUUUAAAGAUACUUCUUCUACCACUAUUCCAGAGUUUUAAAGUAAUCUGCUUUUACUGUUUGAUGCAUAAAAUGCACUUUAUAAAUGGAGUUGCACUCAUGAGCCUGUGACAGUCUCUGUCUGACAUAAACUAAGGCUAAGUGUUAAAUUAAGUGUUGUUCUCAUUCAGCAAGCACAGACGUCUGUUUCACUCCACACUGGGAGGAGGAAAAGGGAACUGCAACUCUGUUUUCCGCAGAGCUUCAACCUCUUUGUGAUGUAAAUGGUUUGUGCAAACUGCGGUUUGGUUCCCAGGUCCGAGUGCCGAGACAAUCCGGGGAAUGGGAGAUUUUUUCACGUGAACCCCAGAGAAUGCGACAGCAGCUCACCUGUCACUCGUCCUCGCUGUUGGGAGUCCACAUGCUUCCAUGAACUCAACACUGAUGUGCUCUGACCCUCACACGCCUGCUCUCACAGAAACAACACAUUCAGGCCGUGUGCAUCACAAAAGCUCUGUGAACCGUGAAAAAUAACAGAAAGUCACAAUGUUUUGCUCUUUGACCUCUUGUUGCUGAAUGCUGUUAUUGUCAGUAUGAUCUGAGCGUUUAUAUGUACUAAUGUUACUGUUAUGUAACUGAUUUGUUUAAUGUGAUAGUAUAUUUUUAUUUUAGGCAUUAAAAAGCUUUGUUAUGUUAUACAAUCUGAAAGGAAGUAGACAAAAUUAAGGAACCACUGUAAAUCUUCUGUUUGAUGUUGCUGUCCCCAACAUUACUUAGGUCCACAUACUGCGCAGAGGAUUAUGAAUAAAUGUAAAAUUACAUUAUCCUAUUAUGUAAACUGUAUUCCCACUGAAUUGUUGACUACUAUUGUGAUGUUUGGCCUGUAUAUUUUUAUUAGUUUGGCAGCACAAGUUUGGAUGCUGUAGCAUUGCUUCUCCCUGUAAGACUUUCGGGGCCUUUUUGCAUGUUUUGAGCAGCUUAGUUCCAUUGAAGGGGCGUGUUAAUGCUACAGCAUACAAUGACAAAAGUGUGCUUCAAACUUUGUGGCAACAGUUUGGGAAAUAACCUGUCCUAUUUUAUCAUGACAAAAAAAAAAAGUCAGGUAUAUAAAGAACUUGUGUACUUUUUCACAGUUUAGUGUGAACUUGGGUCCUGCACAAAGUCCUGACCUCAACCCCAUCCAAUGCCUUUGGGGUGAACUGGUUAGUCGACAGUGAGCCACAUUAUCACCCGACGUCAGUGUUGGACGUAUGGCUGAAUAGGAGCAAAUCCCUGCAGCCAAGUUCCAACAUCUUGUUUGAAAGGCUUCAGAGAAGAGUGGAGGCUUUUAUAGCAGCAGAUUACUGCCCAUUGUUUUCAAAUAAGGUGUUCUUCACUCACAUAUGGCUGUAAUGUUUAUAAUAUACUGUUGCUUUUACUUUUUUAGGGUUUGUGUAUAUAAAUAGAGCGUAUUUAGAUCAAUGCUUCAACAGCUGAUUUGUUGUUGAUGAGAGGCUCCACAGUAUCCUGCCUUCUGCUGCCAUCUACUGAAUGGAAACAUGUCAGUGAAGCUUGUGAAUUUACCCCCAUUCUCGUUUAGGAACUCCUGGGAAAUGUACUGUUGUAAGAGCACAAAUGUGUGCACAAUGAAACAUGUUUGGCUUGUUGAUUAUUACUGGUUGCCAGGGAGAACACAACAAUAAGGGGUACGUUCUUUCUUGCCAUGCUUUUCUUGAAUCAGUGUUUUCUUUCAUAUCUGUAUAAGUAAGAUUAUCAAGAGGCAACAUCAACAUUGACAGACAGCUAUAAAUUGUACUGAGUAAGGUGUAUUUACUCAAAUAUUGUUCUUCUACUUUACUUGAACAUUUGUAUUUUAUGCUACUUUACCACGUUUGCUACACAGUUACUAUACAUAUUACACAUAAAAAUGUAUGAUAAGCUUGUUAAACGCACAACCCAUUGCCAAAGAUGAAACCGGUGGCUCCCAACCUUGAUACUUGUGACCUCUUACAAUAAAGCAGUGUCCUGGG